CCUACGGGUGGCAGCAGUAGGGAAUUUUGCGCAAUGGGCGAAAGCCUGACGCAGCAACGCCGCGUGAUCGAGACGCCCUUCGGGGUGUAAAGAUCUGUCAGUGGGGACGAAACUUGACGGUACCCACAGAGGAAGCACCGGCUAACUCCGUGCCAGCAGCCGCGGUAAUACGGGGGGUGCAAGCGUUGUCCGGAAUCAUUGGGCGUAAAGAGUUCGUAGGCGGCACGUCAAGUCUGGUGUUAAAGGCCGGGGCGCAACUUCUGUACGGCAGUGGAUACUGGCGAGCUAGAAUGCGGGAGAGGUAAGGGGAAUGCGUGGUGUAGCGGUGAAAUGCUUAGAUAUCAGGAGGAACAUCGGUGGCGUAAGCGGUUUACUGGGCCGUAAUUGACGCUGAGGAACGAAAGCCAGGGUAGCAAAUGGGAUUAGAUACCCGUGUAGUC
rnacentral:rRNA from 1 species